rnacentral:rRNA from 1 species
AGACCCGAAACCCGGUGAUCUAGCCAUGGGCAGGUUGAAGGUUGGGUAACACUAACUGGAGGACCGAACCGACUAAUGUUGAAAAAUUAGCGGAUGACCUGUGGCUGGGGGUGAAAGGCCAAUCAAACCGGGAGAUAGCUGGUUCUCCCCGAAAGCUAUUUAGGUAGCGCCUCGUGAAUUCAUCUCCGGGGGUAGAGCACUGUUUCGGCUAGGGGGCCAUCCCGGCUUACCAACCCGAUGCAAACUGCGAAUACCGGAGAAUGUUAUCACGGGAGACACACGGCGGGUGCUAACGUCCGUCGUGAAGAGGGAAACAACCCAGACCGCCAGCUAAGGUCCCAAAGUCAUGGUUAAGUGGGAAACGAUGUGGGAAGGCCCAGACAGCCAGGAUGUUGGCUUAGAAGCAGCCAUCAUUUAAAGAAAGCGUAAUAGCUCACUGGUCGAGUCGGCCUGCGCGGAAGAUGUAACGGGGCUAAACCAUGCACCGAAGCUGCGGCAGCGAACGUAUCACUUAAAGCGAUUCAGCGGGUUACGAUUGACGGAGCGAAGCGACGUCAAAGCGUAUACAAAGUCGAGUCGGUUUAAGGAUACGUUCGUUGGGUAGGGGAGCGUUCUGUAAGCCUGUGAAGGUGGCCUGUGAGGGUUGCUGGAGGUAUCAGAAGUGCGAAUGCUGACAUAAGUAACGAUAAAGCGGGUGAAAAGCCCGCUCGCCGGAAGACCAAGGGUUCCUGUCCAACGUUAAUCGGGGCAGGGUGAGUCGACCCCUAAGGCGAGGCCGAAAGGCGUAGUCGAUGGGAAACAGGUUAAUAUUCCUGUACUUGGUGUUACUGCGAAGGGGGGACGGAGAAGGCUAUGUUGGCCGGGCGACGGUUGUCCCGGUUUAAGCGUGUAGGCUGGUUUUCCAGGCAAAUCCGGAAAAUCAAGGCUGAGGCGUGAUGACGAGGCACUACGGUGCUGAAGCAACAAAUGCCCUGCUUCCAGGAAAAGCCUCUAAGCAUCAGGUAACAUCAAAUCGUACCCCAAACCGACACAGGUGGUCAGGUAGAGAAUACCAAGGCGCUUGAGAGAACUCGGGUGAAGGAACUAGGCAAAAUGGUGCCGUAACUUCGGGAGAAGGCACGCUGACACGUAGGUGAAGUGAUUUACUCAUGGAGCUGAAGUCAGUCGAAGAUACCAGCUGGCUGCAACUGUUUAUUAAAAACACAGCACUGUGCAAACACGAAAGUGGACGUAUACGGUGUGACGCCUGCCCGGUGCCGGAAGGUUAAUUGAUGGGGUCAGCGCAAGCGAAGCUCCUGAUCGAAGCCCCGGUAAACGGCGGCCGUAACUAUAACGGUCCUAAGGUAGCGAAAUUCCUUGUCGGGUAAGUUCCGACCUGCACGAAUGGCGUAAUGAUGGCCAGGCUGUCUCCACCCGAGACUCAGUGAAAUUGAACUCGCUGUGAAGAUGCAGUGUACCCGCGGCAAGACGGAAAGACCCCGUGAACCUUUACUAUAGCUUGACACUGAACAUUGAGCCUUGAUGUGUAGGAUAGGUGGGAGGCUUUGAAGUGUGGACGCCAGUCUGCAUGGAGCCGGCCUUGAAAUACCACCCUUUAAUGUUUGAUGUUCUAACGUGGACCCGUAAUCCGGGUUGCGGACAGUGUCUGGUGGGUAGUUUGACUGGGGCGGUCUCCUCCUAAAGAGUAACGGAGGAGCACGAAGGUUGGCUAAUCCUGGUCGGACAUCAGGAGGUUAGUGCAAUGGCAUAAGCCAGCUUGACUGCGAGCGUGACGGCGCGAGCAGGUGCGAAAGCAGGUCAUAGUGAUCCGGUGGUUCUGAAUGGAAGGGCCAUCGCUCAACGGAUAAAAGGUACUCCGGGGAUAACAGGCUGAUACCGCCCAAGAGUUCAUAUCGACGGCGGUGUUUGGCACCUCGAUGUCGGCUCAUCACAUCCUGGGGCUGAAGUAGGUCCCAAGGGUAUGGCUGUUCGCCAUUUAAAGUGGUACGCGAGCUGGGUUUAGAACGUCGUGAGACAGUUCGGUCCCUAUCUGCCGUGGGCGCUGGAGAACUGAGGGGGGCUGCUCCUAGUACGAGAGGACCGGAGUGGACGCAUCACUGGUGUUCGGGUUGUCAUGCCAAUGGCACUGCCCGGUAGCUAAAUGCGGAAGAGAUAAGUGCUGAAAGCAUCUAAGCACGAAACUUGCCCCGA